CCAAAAUCCUCUUUUACGACGACAUCAAAAGCCAAACAGAAAUAGAAGAGGAACAAACCAAAGAGUUGGACCUUUCGAUCAAAGUAAAAGAAGAAAGAUUAAGUCCGAAAUCGUCGUCCUCGAUGUCGCCCCCUUCCAGACAGAUGGUGACACCCAAGUCUUCUCCAAGCUCCCCAAACAGCCAGAGAAGCGACGAACACUCUAUGUCAGAGUUACCUCGCCUGAUGGCAUCCCCCAUUCCGCCCCUAAUCACUGUACCGCAGCUGUCUUAUAUGGGAAAACCAGUUCCCGCGUUACCCCACUCCGUCAGUAAAUGUACGGACUGCAACAUCGUCUUCUACAAACGUGAAAACUAUCUGAUACAUAAAAAGCAUUACUGUUCUAGUCGCCAAAACAAAUCCACGUCAGAAGACGAAGACGGAAGUGCUGACCUGUUGUCAAGACGACAGGCUAUUGGUGCACGUUCGAUUGUCACUCCUGAACGUACGCAUUCCACGGAUAGCUCUGAAAAGUCUCCUCAAGGGAAAACUGAAGUCAAAGAACCGGUUACACCAGGACAGACAGCAAAGUCUCCCCAGGCUGAAAAACUGAGUCCAUCCAGAACACGAGAGGCGGGGGAAAUCAUCUAUCGAUUCUAUUGUGUUCCUUGCAAAAUAAAAUUCAGUUCUGCGAGUACUUUGCAAGCACACAAAGAGUUCUAUUGUCCGCAUGGAAAAGAAAGCGAACAUACAGUUGUAGGGAAGAACAGAAUGGAAGGGAAAUCGUCUCCAAAAUCGGACGAGGAAGCCAUCAAGUGUCCUCGUUGUGAGGUGAUGAUGCCGUCCUCCAGACACCUAAAGAUGCAUUUCUGUACGGGAGUCUCCAGUCAGAUGCCAAUAUUUCGGUGCAUUUACUGUGAUUUCGUCACUCAGACCGAAACAAGACUGUCGGAACACAUGAAGGCCCACAUGCCCUAACAAAGCAUAUCGCUGCACUCUAUGUGGAUAUCGCGGAAAUACUGUGCGUGGAAUGAGAAUGCAUGGCAAGGUCCAUCUGGAUAAUGGAGAGGAAUUUACGGAUGAUCACAUGAUAGAGAUUGAGGAACCGCCGCUGAUGCCAAUAAAACUAGGAGACCACGUGUCAUCAGAAGCCGGGCCAAUAGACGUGGAAGCAGAGUUGAUCCGUCUAAAGAACGAACCCUACAAAAGGCGACGCUCAAGAAAGUCCUACGAAAAAGCAGAACACGCGUCUUCAAUACCAAGAAACUUUUCUAGUAUGUGUAUGUAUUGUGGACAAAUCUUUACAGACAUUUCAAACUUCGCCAUGCAUUUGAAACUUCACGAGAUGAUAGCCCUCCAAGCGGCUGGGGUUCAGAACUACAAAUGCCAAUAUUGCACAUCUUAUGUGACUCUUUUGAGUCUUUGAUGGCGCAUGUUUACAACAAGCACCCGGAAAAAAUUCCUCGAGACCAGUCUAGUCCAGGAUCGACUUCUCGAUCAAGCCCAGGUACAACCAAAACGCCAGAGCGGAAAUCCCCCUCUCCCCAGCCAGAUCAACCUGUCAUAAAAACCGAGCCACAAUCUUCAGCAGAGGAAGAGGAGGAGUCCCGUGAAACAACGGAUCAGGAGUUGGUUCCCGUCAAGAGAGAAGCCACUACUGAUAGCGAGGAAAGUGGAAAUACCGAAAACAUUCCAAACGAAACACUGUCUUCUUCCAAAAGAAUCAAAGAGGAAGUGCAAAGUGAAAGUUCAAGGUCACCCUUGGAGACCUCCAUUGUAAAUAGAGACCUACCAAAAAGUGCUUCCUCUUCCCCUCGAUCUCAGAAAUCCCCAAUUAGUCGCGAUUCUACGCCCAAAACCAAAUCAGAGAACCCAGAAACGGUCGAUAAAAAAUCCUCCCUAAUGAUUCCCCGAGUUGAUCCUCAAAUGAUGCCAUACUAUCACGUGGUCCCUGCAGCUUUCCAUGUCCUACCAAAUAUGGUAAGCCCUGUGUCGUCACAGAUUGGACAGUCGCCAAAACGAACGGACAAGUACUGUCGUCAUUGUGAUAUCUCAUUUACCUACAAAAACUCUUACCUAGCACACAAAAAGUACUAUUGCAGUGCCAACAUGUCGUCGGAGGAAAUGACUUCUCCUGCGCAAGCGUAGAAGAUAACAUUCCUUUAAUUUCUAUGGUAUUUUGGUGCAAAACCUGAUUGACUAUUCGGUAGCUUUUUUUAAAGUUACUUGUAUGAACGAGUGGUAAUUUUAGCCGCGAUAGACAUAUUAUUUUAUAUACAUCAGGAUGUUUUUUGUGUAUGAUUUGAAUCGGUGCUUCAACCCAAUUCACGCCAUUGCUAUUGGUUGAUUCAAAUUUUUGAAUUUUGUUGCGUUCACACUGUGUUUAGUGAUUAUUUAUUGUUACAUAUAUGUGUUCAUAUUUAAUCCGUUUCUAAGUAAAAAUAAAAGAU
rnacentral:misc_RNA from 1 species